rnacentral:rRNA from 1 species
AUGCAAGUCGAGCGAACGGACGAGAAGCUUGCUUCUCUGAUGUUAGCGGCGGACGGGUGAGUAACACGUGGAUAACCUACCUAUAAGACUGGGAUAACUUCGGGAAACCGGAGCUAAUACCGGAUAAUAUUUUGAACCGCAUGGUUCAAAAGUGAAAGACGGUCUUGCUGUCACUUAUAGAUGGAUCCGCGCUGCAUUAGCUAGUUGGUAAGGUAACGGCUUACCAAGGCAACGAUGCAUAGCCGACCUGAGAGGGUGAUCGGCCACACUGGAACUGAGACACGGUCCAGACUCCUACGGGAGGCAGCAGUAGGGAAUCUUCCGCAAUGGGCGAAAGCCUGACGGAGCAACGCCGCGUGAGUGAUGAAGGUCUUCGGAUCGUAAAACUCUGUUAUUAGGGAAGAACAUAUGUGUAAGUAACUGUGCACAUCUUGACGGUACCUAAUCAGAAAGCCACGGCUAACUACGUGCCAGCAGCCGCGGUAAUACGUAGGUGGCAAGCGUUAUCCGGAAUUAUUGGGCGUAAAGCGCGCGUAGGCGGUUUUUUAAGUCUGAUGUGAAAGCCCACGGCUCAACCGUGGAGGGUCAUUGGAAACUGGAAAACUUGAGUGCAGAAGAGGAAAGUGGAAUUCCAUGUGUAGCGGUGAAAUGCGCAGAGAUAUGGAGGAACACCAGUGGCGAAGGCGACUUUCUGGUCUGUAACUGACGCUGAUGUGCGAAAGCGUGGGGAUCAAACAGGAUUAGAUACCCUGGUAGUCCACGCCGUAAACGAUGAGUGCUAAGUGUUAGGGGGUUUCCGCCCCUUAGUGCUGCAGCUAACGCAUUAAGCACUCCGCCUGGGGAGUACGACCGCAAGGUUGAAACUCAAAGGAAUUGACGGGGACCCGCACAAGCGGUGGAGCAUGUGGUUUAAUUCGA